GGAAAUCCCUGCCUACCUGAGGCUUUCCAAAGACCUUUAGAUUUCAAAGGAGGAAAGUCUGAAGGCCAAAAUCACAUAGUGUAGCCUCUUCUGCAAGCAAACUCCUGGACCCAAGCAGUGUGCUGGGAAGUCAACAGCAGAAUACGGAUAGAACCUUUCAUCACCAGUUCCAUGAUCACUGUUGUGGGGAAGUGUUAAAGUCACCAUGACCUCCAGCAGAUCUAGGAGGUAAAUGUUUGGAGUGGAUAAAUCUGUCUGUCCAGCAGAGAGUACCCCAGGACUCCAAGUGCUACUUUUCUCAGAAUUGUCCUGAGAAAUGCAUAUGAAGUGGAAUUGUCAUGGACUAGUCAGGGACUGUACAGCUGAAGAAAGAGGCUUUCUAGACUCUGCUUCCUCCUGUGCUGAAAUCCUGGUAUGUGGAGUGUCUGGGACCAGGAUUCUGCCUCACUCCAUUACUUGGAGCUAAAAACUGAGGAUCUCAGCCUCAGCUCUCAUUGCUGACUUGUCCACAUUCACCCAAUAAGUCUAUAACUGAACUGAGCUGAGAACCCCGGUUUCCCAAGUGCCAUCCUGGUGCUUAAGAGCUGAUGAUGAAGGGGGAAGUCACUUGCAAUUAGCCACACUUCCCUGGCUUACAAAAAUAGAGUUGCUAUUUCACAGUGCUGGUAAUUGCUCUAUUUUCUGCCUACAAAACUUUGCUUCUAUAUGGAUGACCUCAGCUGAAGAAAACCACAUUGAAAGAAGGAACAGAUGCAAGCCUCUGCUUGAAGAUUAGUGUCAGAGGUGGUUUCUGGUGGAGGUUUAAUUCCACAGAGCUCAGAUUAAAAAGUGGGUUUUCUUUUAUUAUUAAAGCAGUUUGGCUGUGCAGAAGGUUCAUGUGAAUGUUUUCACUUUCUAUCAGAGUAUCAGUGACAGAGCUUGACUUUUGUAAUCCUGUGGCAUGCUCUACUCUUUUACCAUUGCUCUUCUCCUUGAAUAUCAGCCUAACAGCCCCUAGACUCUGCAGGACCUGCACGCUGAAGGACCACGCUGAGCAGCAGUGAGGUCUGACUGGGGCUGUGACACACAGAAUGGGGAAGCAGGAUGAAAGCAGGAGUGACGCUCACCAGCUCAGCAGGGUUGACAACUGGAGGCUGAAGAGCUCUGGGGAAGAAUGUGCAUCUCUUGCUCAUGGCUUUACCUGGUCACAGUCAAACGUGCAGGGCUUAUUCAUGUCGCUAACCCACUUCUUAGUCAUGAGCAGUGAAAAAUCAGUUAGCAUUUUUCAUCCUCUUUACAAAAAGAAAAAAAAUCCAGCAGCCAAAGACAAUAGAAGAGAAACAGAUGUAAAUCAACAUGAAAUAUUUUAAGACUGCAGAGAGCACUACAGGUAAAUAUGGGCUAGACGGUCAGCAGCAGUAGGUGUGAGGAAUGAAUGGGAUAGAAAUACAACGGUUCAGGAGGGACAGACAGGUUGUCACAAUAACUCUUCUGAAUUGUUUACUAAAUUUUGUUUACAGUAUAAACAUUUUGCUCAAGGGCUGCUAAAAAGAUUUAAGAGAACUGAGUAAAAAUGUUCUCUGCUCUAUAAACUGCUACUGCUUUGCCUUUGCUGUCUGGAUAGGAGAAUAAAUGAGAGCUACAAAAAUACCAUUGCAACUAACACUGCACAUCAUUUUUCAGUUGGUGAAGUGACCAAACAAUAUAUUCUCUGCCUUGCAGUGGAAAGAAAUUAAAGGGGAGACAAAACUCUUUGGAGGGUCCUUUAGGAGCACUGUGUCAAAGGGUGGCACUUGGGGUCCCCUCGCAUAGCACUGUAGUUUAAUUGUUUGAAGAUGCUGAAGUGCAUAAUGUGGCUGCAAAGCUCAUUAGAAAAAUUAAUUCACAGUGUUCUAUUCAUUUUUUUUUCCAAUCCUGAC